rnacentral:misc_RNA from 1 species
ACUAUUAUUAAUUAAUAGUUAGCCCAAAGGCUAAUAAUCUAAAGGGCAUGAAGAUUUAAUUUCAUACAACAUUUCCAGGUUAUGCUAGCUUUGACAAGCUGGUUUAACCAGCUUCCCUGGAAAUGAUUGAUACACUGCACAAAUAUACUUACAAGAAAACUUAUUUUUCCACGUUCAGUUCAUGAGAGUGUUCAAGAUGGACAUGGGGGCAGGGUCUUUCAGGCUCCCCUCGUGCCCACAAAACGUUGAGAUCACCUCUUUUCUUUCCCAAUGUCAGAAAGGU